CAUGAGAUGAUGUGAGCGUCCAAUGAGAUGAAAGAACAAAGUGACACAAUAAAACAUAGAUCGAGUGGCAUAAAGAAUGAGUAAAGUUAAAGAACAAUGAUUUGCUAGAGUUAGCAAAAUAAAGUGAUGUAAAGAACACUAGAGUUAGUGUGUGGCAUCAAAGAGAAUGUGACGCAAAGAACGAUGAUAAUGAGUAGAGACAAGUAAAGAAAAUGAAAGUAGCAUAAAGAACGUGUAAAGUUAAACAACAAUGAUUGCUAGAGUUAGCAAAAUAAAGUGAUGUAAAGAACACUAGAGUUAGUGUAA
rnacentral:lncRNA from 1 species